rnacentral:rRNA from 1 species
AGGGGUAAACUGAAAAACCNGAAAGGUCGAAGGAAAAAAUUCAUUCGCGUCUCGAAAUAAACUACAGUUAUUGAUGUGUGACGGAUAGUUUCCGAAUGUCCCGCACCCUUUGACUGUUGAAUCUGCCACGAACGUGUGCACUUUUCUUCUGGUAGGACGUCGCGAUCUGUUGAGUGUCGGUCUACGACUUUUGGUGGUGCCCAUUUGUUGCUCUUUUGAGUUUUGCGAAUGAACCCAAAUUUUCUGGCCGACUUGCUUGACAGUAUAAGAUGUGGUUCUAGGCCGCUUUUUUUUAAGCGUUCGACCCAAUGCAAGCUCACGAGUUGUGUUUAGCGAUCGGACCUAGUGCCGAUUCUAAUCGCUUGUGGUUGUUGGUGUUGGUGUUCUUGAACAGUGCCUUAAACCGAUCAGCGACGCUAUAGCUUUGGGUAAUUUCAGGACCCGUCUUGAAACACGGACCAAGGAGUCUAGCAUGUACGCAAGUCAUUGGGAAUUACUAAACCUAAAGGCGAAAUGAAAGUAAAGAUCUUUCUUGUAGAGAUCGAGGGAAGAUGAGCGGUUUGAUUUGUUCGGCCGUUCAGCAUUCCCGGGGCGUUUCAUUCUCAUUGCGAGAAGAGGCGCACCAAGAGCGUACAUGCUGGGACCCGAAAGAUGGUGAACUAUGCCUGGUCAGGACGAAGUCAGGGGAAACCCUGAUGGAGGUCCGUAGCGAUUCUGACGUGCAAAUCGAUCGUCGGAACUGGGUAUAGGGGCGAAAGACUAAUCGAACCAUC